rnacentral:tRNA from 1 species
GCUCCGGUGGCACAGUGGAUAGCGCGGUCCCCUCCUAAGGGACAGGUCGGCGGUUCAAAUCCGCCCCGGGGCACCA